rnacentral:tRNA from 1 species
GGUGACUCAGUGGUAGAGUGCUUGCCUUGCAUGCAAGAGGCCCUGGGUUUGAUUCCUCAGCACCA